AAUGCUGCAGCUGUUGAGCAGGUUGCCACUGGCCACAUUGGCCAUGCUGUCCCCGUUCCUAGCACAAGAAGCUCCAAGAAGCUGUGUAGCUAGUAGGCUGUUCAUUUCUGCCUCCAGGAAAUAGGUCAAGGUCAAAAAACCUCCAGAGACCAGAGGAGAGAGAAGCUUCCAGGCUCAGCUUCAUUCCACCUCCUGCCUCUAAGUGCUGUCAGAUUGGACUGCCAGUAGAACUGCCACAACCACCUGGCCUCAGGUCAAAAGUGAAGAAGCAGAGAGCACCGUCCACACCCUGCCUUGGAUCCAAAAGGCCUUCUUCACUGUCAAGGAUAACAGUAAAGAGAGUUCCAGAAAUGUGGUUUAGAACAAGAGCCCCCGUAGAGCGCACCCUGGGGAUUAUAAAUGUGGAGACAGUCACUCUAUGCCAUCUGGUGAUGGAAAGAACUUGGAGGACACCUGCUCUGGAAAACACCUGCCCAUGUUCUUAAUGAGGAACAUCUUCCUUGGACUUUGCCUAAGUUAGGAGUAAACUUUAAUUGCAUAAAACCUCUCAAUUUUGGGUUUUAUUUGUGAAUGCAGCAUAGCUUAACCUAUCAUGACUAAAACCCAGGGGAUUUUGAUUUUAGUCCCCAAGAGAACUUCACUUUAGGGGCACCAGCGUCAUACUGAGUGAGUGGACAGUAGGAACGACAUUUUGGUAAUAAGAACUUUCCUGAGAGUCCCUCUGAUUAUCCCCUGGUUACCCCCACUGCACCCAGGAUUCCUGUGAGCCCAAGGGGAGUUACCUCCUGGACACCUAGCAAGGUAGUGGGGUGGUGGAAAGGACUGGCACUCGUACUUGGGGAGACCAAACUGUCCAUACGCCUCUGAGAUGAGACAGCAGUUAUGGGCACCUUGGCUACGUCAUAUUAAGUUUCUAAUAUUUAAGAUUAGAAUGAACAGGACCCAUACACAUGCUGUUCACUACUUUCAUGGACAUAAUCCCUGAGCCCAACUCUGUUUGGGCUCCUUAGCGUCUACUGUGUCUUAGCCUCAGUUCUCUCCAGAGCAGAGCCUGAAAUUAGGACUGGUGUGCAGGAUGUUUAUCUAGCAUGUGAUCACAUAGAGCAAGAGUGAGGGAUCAGAAAGUAUAAAACAGGGAUGGAGAAAAAACUACGACGAGGGUCUUCUAAGUUACCCACCACAGUGGGCAACUGGGGCUUAGUCCUUCCAGGAUAUGCGGAGGCAUGUAUAGGCUGUUUCAGAAUUGUCCACUGAAGGAUCCACAGGGAGAAAUAUGUCCAUCACUCAUUGGUUGAAGGUGGCCCAAGAAGGCAACAACUCCCCUGACUACAGGGCUUUGCUCGGAGCAUGCUGAGUUUCCUUCUGUGGUGUUGGAGCAGCCACCCCCAGGAACACAGCAAAAGAUGCUCCGAGCAUGCUGGAGGCAAGGUGCUGUCAGCGUGAAGCCAUGUGAAGCCCACACGGUAUUGUUUGCCAAAGCCAAGGCUGCAAACAGUGCUGGGGCUGGCAGGAUGUGAGGAGGGCCCUACAGGUGUCUGACACAUAGCCCCUUCCUGCCAGCAACCUGAUCUCUUCAUGGGGAAUUCUUGAGGGCAUGAAUUCCUGCCUCUGAUCUCCCAUUUCUCAGAAGCUGAAACUCAGGGGGACAGGUCUGUCCUCUGCCUGACCUAAGCUCAUCUUAUUGGUGAGUGGACGAUUCUGAAAGGCACGCUGUACACACUUCACAAGGUCCCCAGCAGGAUGAAGCCCGGUUUCCCAUAGUAGUGCAUGACUUGAUAACAUCCCCUUGCAGUGGCUUAGACCAGGUAGAGGACAUCCCUAGACCUUGAAUUCUGAGAGAGUAAAGCAAGGAUGGGGCGAUUUGAUGAUCUAUCUUAUAUAGUGGUGGCCUCAGCAGUAGCAUUCUGACUGGAUUGUCCCUUUUAGGAGACAAUCUUUUCUCCUUGCUUCCUGCAGCAGCCCUUCUGAGUUUCCUUGUUCUUGUCAUUCUCUAGCUUGAAUCUUAGCCUCCCUGUGAGUCUAUGAGCCUCUCAUAUCCUCCCAAUAAAUUCCUUCUUCCUUAUGCUAGCCAUAGCUACACUCUGACAGAGAAGAGAUACCAUAACCCUCCCAAAACAAUCAGGUUUGAACUCAUCAUGUGAAUCUCUGCUAAUUUGGAUUCAACCACCGGUAGGUAUUAUCUGUUGUGUACAUAUGUGUAUUAUGUGUAUUAAUGGCACAUUUGUAAGUGGAAGUGUCUAUAGAAGCUAGCUCUGACGCCAUCUUGUUGGAAUUAACAUUGAUUCAGCAAAAAAACCCCUCCGACUUCUGCCUCAGCAGCUUAUCAGUAAUAGUCUGAUCAAAACAAGAGUAUAUGCUUCUGAUUUUAUACUGAGAG